UCAGGCCGAAUAAGAACGGAGGGGGCGGCGGCUGGACGGCUCACUCGGUGCCACUGCCUGGGGGCUGUAGUGACCGCGCCGCUCCUACGGGGGGCUGCCCAAGCCAAGGACCAGCCUCUGUUGCCUUCUCCUCCACCUCCCAGCUUCCCCGGCCAGAACAUCCCCCCCACGAUGGCCGAGGACAGCAGCAGUACCAGGGAGUGCGUGUCCUUCAGCGUGCUCAACUGGGAUCAGGUCAGCCGGCUGCAUGAGGUCCUGACUGAGGUCGUGCCCAUCCACGGACGAGGCAACUUUCCGACCUUGGAGAUAACCCUCAAGGACAUCGUCCAGACCGUCCGCAGCCGGCUGGAGGAGGCAGGCAUCAAAGUGCAGGACGUCCGGCUGAACGGCUCUGCAGCUGGACACGUCUUGGUCAAGGACAACGGCUUGGGUUGCAAAGACCUGGACCUGAUCUUCCACGUGGCUCUCCCCACCGAGGCAGAAUUUCAGCUGGUCAGAGACGUGGUUCUGUGUUCCCUCCUGAACUUCCUGCCCGAGGGCGUGAACAAGCUCAAGAUCAGCCCCGUCACUCUCAAGGAGGCCUACGUGCAGAAGCUGGUGAAGGUCUGCACGGACACCGACCGCUGGAGCCUGAUUUCCCUCUCCAACAAGAACGGGAGGAACGUGGAGCUCAAGUUUGUCGACUCCAUCCGGCGCCAGUUUGAGUUCAGCGUGGACUCUUUCCAAAUCAUCCUGGAUUCUUUGCUUUUCUUCUACGAUUGCUCCAGUAACCCCAUCUCUGAGCACUUCCACCCCACCGUGAUCGGGGAGAGCGUGUACGGGGACUUUGAGGAAGCCUUCGACCAUCUGCAGAACAGACUGAUCGCCACCAAGAACCCAGAAGAGAUCCGAGGCGGGGGACUUCUGAAGUAUAGCAACCUUCUCGUGCGGGACUUCAGGCCCACGGACCAGGAGGAGAUCAAGACUCUGGAGCGUUACAUGUGCUCCAGGUUUUUCAUUGACUUCCCAGACAUCCUCGAACAGCAAAGGAAGUUGGAGACCUACCUUCAAAACCACUUCGCCGAAGAAGAGAGAAGCAAGUACGACUACCUCAUGAUCCUUCGCAGGGUGGUGAACGAGAGCACCGUGUGCCUCAUGGGCCACGAACGCAGGCAGACCCUGAACCUCAUCUCUCUCCUGGCCCUGCGAGUGCUGGCAGAACAGAACAUCAUCCCCAACGCCACCAACGUCACCUGUUACUACCAGCCAGCUCCUUACGUCAGCGAUGGCAACUUCAACAACUACUACAUCGCCCAUCCUCCAGUUACCUACAGCCAGCCUUACCCUACCUGGCUGCCCUGUAACUAACCUUGAGACCCGAGGGUUCCGGCCGUGGGAACCCUGUAGGGCAAGGGCUCUCAGGACUAAAUUGCAUAUGUCUAGUUCCUGUCAGCAGAGCUGAGAAUUUCUUUCAUCAAUAAACCAAAGCCAAUAGCUGGAGACUUGAGAUCUGGUUGGAAGUGGUUUAUGGUUUAGAUGCUGUGCUAUCUUGAGGAAUUAUGAAAUAUUGCUGAGAGAGGAAAAAAAAAAGAUGACCUUUUCUUGAAAUGUAACUUGAAAACAAAAUAAAAUGUGGAACAUAAUGUUAAAGUAGAAUUGUGGUGGUGGUGAGGGGGGUGGUGGAUUGUAAAUAGGAAAUGUGAAUGUCCUUUUUCUUUUUUCUUUUCUUUUCUUUAAGGAAUUCUCAUUGAAUGACACUUUUCGUCCUCAGCUCUCUCUCGUGGAUGACUUUUGUGUUGCUCCUCCUAAGGAUGGUCAGUGCUGUUUCUGGACGCGUUGUUGUGACUGAUGUUAAGGGUUUUCCCAUGUUUUAAUUGGAAACCCAUGUUUUUCUGGAGUACUUUGGCUAUUUUUUGUUGUUGUUGUUGUUGUUUGUUUGUUUUCUUUACUUUUGAAAAACAAAAAAAAAGUGAUUUUCUUCUCCAGGUCUUCUUUGACAGCUAAUGAAUUCAGGAAUUUCAGUAGAAUUGAGUGACCUGUGGAAGUGCUUAGAUUCUAACCUGUCCCUGUGCCACAUGAAGGUGGGGGUUUAGCAUUAAGUCUGGCCUUGUGUGCUUUCAAGGCAGUUUGAAAUCAUUCCAGUGUAUUCGAGGAAGCAUUGGGUGAGUGAAGAAUUAUCUUCCUUAUUCUGGUAGAUUUGACCAUACUUGUUUAUAUUCUGCACUUUAGAAGGAAAACAGUGUUAAACUCUAGUCUAAAGCAAGCUUAGUCAAUGGGAGAGAUCUAGCCUACGUAUUGCUUUCCAGAGUAGCUUUAGAUUGUAUGCUUUAAAUUUUUUUGUGUGUGUGUGGGGGGGGAUUUUUUUUUUUUAGAAAGCCUCACUUUAUGGUAUCAAGAGCAAAAGACAACUCAGUAUUGCCUACCAGCUUGAUUUCUCAAGUGAUUGAAUCAACCCUUUGCUCCUGAAUUAUAUUUUCUCCUGUGGCUGUAGCAAUGCAAUGCCCUAAAUGAUUGCUUUCUCCUUGCUUUAAGCAAUGAAGUUAUCUUAAUGCAGAAAUGCUUAGUAGAAAAACGAGUGGUUGACCUUUUUCCUAAAGAGGUGUCUUCAGGUUUCUUCUGGAAUGUGAUACCUUGGUUCUCUUAAGGAAGACAAGAUUGACAUGACUGAAACCCCAGGCUUAGCUGGGGCCCAUGUUGUGCUACAUCAGGUGAAAAGAAAGCCACUUCUUAGUGGAACCAGCUUCUGUUUUCCUGGGAACCUUAGUCAUAUUUGAAUUCACUGGCUUCGAGUCAAGCUCUAGGAGGGGGACGGAGGACCUGGGGUGCUUCAGUGUUAAGAGGUGGGCAGUGAUCCUGACUUUGAAAACUACCCAGUCAUUCAUGACCUUAAAACGCUGCCAUUGUGGUCCGAUGACAACUGAUUUGCACAAAAACAUGACAAACUUGUUUAACCAAAGCUUUUGGAGUGUGAUGAAGCCACCACCAACAUAAGCACUUGGCUAAGAGAAAUCAGUAUGGCUUCGGCUUAGGAGGGUCGGGAACCAGCGAGGCCCCGGAGGAAGACAGGAUCUGCAUCCAUUAAUUAAAUUUCCAGUUUGUCCUUGGAA